rnacentral:rRNA from 1 species
AAUGAACGCUGGCGGCAUGCCUAACACAUGCAAGUCGAACGAAGCCUUCGGGCUUAGUGGCGCACGGGUGCGUAACGCGUGGGAAUCUGCCCUUGGGUUCGGAAUAACUCUCCGAAAGGAGUGCUAAUACCGGAUGAUGUCGAAAGACCAAAGAUUUAUCGCCCAGGGAUGAGCCCGCGUAGGAUUAGCUAGUUGGUGAGGUAAAAGCUCACCAAGGCGACGAUCCUUAGCUGGUCUGAGAGGAUGAUCAGCCACACUGGGACUGAGACACGGCCCAUACUCCUACGGGAGGCAGCAGUGGGUAAUAUUGGACAAUGGGCGAAAGCCUGAUCCAGCAAUGCCGCGUGAGUGAUGAAGGCCUUAGGGUUGUAAAGCUCUUUUACCCGGGAUGAUAAUGACAGUACCGGGAGAAUAAGCCCCGGCUAACUCCGUGCCAGCCGCCGCGGUAA